AGAGCGAACGCUGGCGGCAGGCCUAACACAUGCAAGUCGAACGGACUCUUCGGAGCUAGUGGCGGACGGGUGAGUAACACGUGGGAACGUGCCUUUAGGUUCGGAAUAGCUCCUGGAAACGGGUGGUAAUACCGAAUGUGCCCUUCGGGGGAAAGAUUUAUCGCCUUUAGAGCGGCCCGCGUCUGAUUAGCUUGUUGGUGAGGUAAUGGCUCACCAAGGCUACGAUCAGUAGCUGGUCUGAGAGGAUGACCAGCCACAUUGGGACUGAGACACGGCCCAAACUCCUACGGGAGGCAGCAGUGGGGAAUCUUGCGCAAUGGGCGAAAGCCUGACGCAGCCAUGCCGCGUGUAUGAUGAAGGUCUUAGGAUUGUAAAAAUCUUUCACCGGUGAAGAUAAUGACUGUAGCCGGAGAAGAAGCCCCGAUAACUUCGUGCCAGCAGCCGC
rnacentral:rRNA from 1 species